rnacentral:rRNA from 1 species
UGGGGAAUAUUGCACAAUGGGCGCAAGCCUGAUGCAGCAACGCCGCGUGAGGGACGACGGCCUUCGGGUUGUAAACCUCUUUUAGUAGGGAAGAAGCGAAAGUGACGGUACCUGCAGAAAAAAGCACCGGCUAACUACGUGCCAGCAGCCGCGGUAAUACGUAGGGUGCGAGCGUUGUCCGGAAUUAUUGGGCGUAAAGAGCUCGUAGGCGGUCUGUCGCGUCUGCUGUGAAAACCCGAGGCUCAACCUCGGGCCUGCAGUGGGUACGGGCAGACUAGAGUGCGGUAGGGGAGAAUGGAAUUCCUGGUGUAGCGGUGAAUGCGCAGAUAUCAGGAGGAACACCGAUGGCGAAGGCAGUUCUCUGGGCCGUAACUGACGCUGAGGAGCGAAAGCGUGGGGAGCGAACAGGAUUAGAUACCCUGGUAGUCCACGCCGUAAAACGUUGGGCGCUAGAUGUGGGGACCAUUCCACGGUUUCCGUGUCGCAGCUAACGCAUUAAGCGCCCCGCCUGGGG